rfam:Salmo salar isolate Sally breed double haploid chromosome ssa18, whole genome shotgun sequence.
UGCAUGCAUGACUGUAAACUGCUUUGGAUAAAAGUGUCUGCUAAAUGGCAUAUA